UACGGGGGGGGGUAAGCGUUGUUCGGAAUUACUGGGCGUAAAGGGCUCGUAGGCGGCCAACUAAGUCAGACGUGAAAUCCCUCAGCUUAACUGGGGAACUGCGUCUGAUACUGGAUGGCUUGGAUUUGGGAGAGGGAUGCGGAAUUCCAGGUGUAGCGGUGAAAUGCGUAGAUAUCUGGAGGAACACCGGUGGCGAAGGCGGCAUCCUGGACCAAUAUUGACGCUGAGGAGUGAAAGCCAGGGGAGCAAACGGG
rnacentral:rRNA from 1 species